rnacentral:rRNA from 1 species
CACGUAGGGGGCGAGCGUUGUUCGGAGUUACUGGGCGUAAAGGGCGCGUAGGCGGCCUUCUAAGUCGAACGUGAAAUCCCCGGGCUCAACCCGGGAACUGCGUCCGAUACUGGAAGGCUUGAAUCCGGGAGAGGGAUGUGGAAUUCCAGGUGUAGCGGUGAAAUGACGUAGAUAGUCUGGAGGAACACCGGUGGCGAAGGCGACAUCCUGGACCGGUAUUGACGCUGAGGCGCGAAAGCCAGGGGAGCAAAGCGGG